AUUCCAGCUCCAAUAGCGUAUAUUAAAGUUGUUGCAGUUAAAACGCUCGUAGUCGGAUUUCGGGGCGGGCCGACCGGUCUGCCGAUGGGUAUGCACUGGCCGGCGCGUCCUUCCACCCGGAGACCGCGCCUACUCUUAACUGAGCGGGCGCGGGAGACGGGUCUUUUACUUUGAAAAAAUCAGAGUGUUUCAAGCAGGCAGUCGCUCUUGCAUGGAUUAGCAUGGGAUAAUGAAAUAGGACUCUGGUGCUAUUUUGUUGGUUUCGAACACCGGAGUAAUGAUUAACAGGGACAGUCAGGGGCACUCGUAUUCCGCCCAGCGGAAGACGAACCACUGCGAAAGCAUUUGCCAGGGAUGUUUUCAUCG
rnacentral:rRNA from 1 species